rnacentral:rRNA from 1 species
CUACGGGGUGCAGCAGUGGGGAAUAUUGCACAAUGGAGGAAACUCUGAUGCAGCAACGCCGCGUGGAGGAUGACACUUUUCGGAGCGUAAACUCCUUUUAUAUAGGAAGAAGAUGACGGUACUAUAUGAAUAAGCGCCGGCUAACUCCGUGCCAGCAGCCGCGGUAAUACGGAGGGCGCAAGCGUUACUCGGAAUCACUGGGCUUAAAGAGCGUGUAGGCGGAUUAAAAAGUCAGAAGUGAAAUCCUAUAGCUUAACUAUAGAACUGCUUCUGAAACUCUUAAUCUAGAAUAUGGGAGAGGUAGAUGGAAUUUCUGGUGUAGGGGUAAAAUCCGUAGAGAUCAGAAGGAAUACCGAUUGCGAAGGCGAUCUACUAGAACAUUAUUGACGCUGAGACGCGAAAGCGUGGGGAGCAAACAGGAUUAGAUACCCCCGUAGUC